rnacentral:rRNA from 1 species
UACGAAGGGGCUAGCGUUGCUCGGAAUCACUGGGCGUAAAGGGUGCGUAGGCGGGUCUUUAAGUCAGGGUGAAAUCCUGGAGCUCAACUCCAGAACUGCCUUUGAUACUGAAGAUCUUGAGUUCGGGAGAGGUGAGUGGAACUGCGAGUGUAGAGGUGAAAUUCGUAGAUAUUCGCAAGAACACCAGUGGCGAAGGCGGCUCACUGGCCCGAUACUGACGCUGAGGCACGAAAGCGUGGGGAGCGAACAGG